GGACCCGUGGGGCCAGGAGAAAGCCUGCAAUGGCCCUGAGGCCGGGACUGGGAUUCCACUGCUGGAUUGUCAGCCACUCAGAACACAGACUUUCCUUAUCAGAAUCAGUAGACUGAAUGCAGCCGAGUGCCCUCAGCAGUGUGGGUAGGCCUCACUCGAUUCACUGAAACUCCAGGGACAGAAGCAAAUGUUGUUUUAAAGAGAAUUCACUUUCUCUUCCUGACUGCCUACUACCUGGGCUGUUGGCGCUCUCCUGCCUUUGGACUCCGACAAGAACUGGAGCUCUCCCUUCGGCUCUCCUGGGUUUCUAGCAUGCUGACUGUAGAUCCGGGACUAAUUGGUCUCCAUGUUCAACCCACGGGUCUGCAAAAAGAUACGCCAUCAGUAGCUGAAUGGAAUGUCUCUGUCCAGGUGUUCGGAGAAAAACUCCAUCACAAACAGAAGCUAAACAGAUCGGAUAACAAGAGGGAUAACUUGAGCAAAAGAAUUUACAGAAAAAAACAAAGAAGACGUGUAUUUUUAUAGCCACCGUGGAAACCACUGAAGUCCCUGGUAAAGGUGAGGAGAAUCUGUAGGCACUCACCAAAAAGUUGGCAUAAUCUGGAUGUUUAAA
rnacentral:lncRNA from 1 species